rnacentral:rRNA from 1 species
AGGAUCAUUACCGAGUGAGGGCCCUCUGGGUCCAACCUCCCACCCGUGUCUAUCGUACCUUGUUGCUUCGGCGGGCCCGCCGUUUCGACGGCCGCCGGGGAGGCCUUGCGCCCCCGGGCCCGCGCCCGCCGAAGACCCCAACAUGAACGCUGUUCUGAAAGUAUGCAGUCUGAGUUGAUUAUCGUAAUCAGUUAAAACUUUCAACAACGGAUCUCUUGGUUCCGGCAUCGAUGAAGAACGCAGCGAAAUGCGAUAAGUAAUGUGAAUUGCAGAAUUCAGUGAAUCAUCGAGUCUUUGAACGCACAUUGCGCCCCCUGGUAUUCCGGGGGGCAUGCCUGUCCGAGCGUCAUUGCUGCCCUCAAGCACGGCUUGUGUGUUGGGCCCCCGUCCCCCUCUCCCGGGGGACGGGCCCGAAAGGCAGCGGCGGCACCGCGUCCGGUCCUCGAGCGUAUGGGGCUUUGUCACCUGCUCUGUAGGCCCGGCCGGCGCCAGCCGWCACCCAACUUUAUUUUUCUAAGGUUGACCUCGGAUCAGGUAGGGAUACCCGCUGAACUUAAG